rnacentral:rRNA from 1 species
UACGUAGGGGGCAAGCGUUGUCCGGAUUUAUUGGGCGUAAAGAGCGUGUAGGCGGCCUGGAAGGUCAGCUGUGAAAACUCGAGGCUCAACCUCGAGACGUCGGUUGAAACCACCAGGCUAGAGUCCGGAAGAGGAGAGUGGAAUUCCCGGUGUAGCGGUGAAAUGCGCAGAUAUCGGGAAGAACACCCGUGGCGAAGGCGGCUCUCUGGGACGGUACUGACGCUGAGACGCGAAAGCGUGGGGAGCGAACAGG